GAAGGGGGAUGGGGAAGAGGACAGGCAGAGCAGCAGUGGUCUGUACCUUCCCAAAGCUGGGCCGGCUGACCGUGGCAGAUUGCAGGCUGCGAUGUGAGUAAUGCGCUUUACGCUGUUUUAACAGCUGACUACCCCAGAGGCCUGAGGUGAGAGGCGCAUGUGAUGGGCACAGAGCAGAGCCAGGACACAGGACAGGCUGCCAUGUGCCAGUGUACAGUGACAGAUCCCUGACUGGGGCGCGGGCUGGAGCAGGAGGGCACGGACAGGAUGCCACGCUCUGGAUAACAAACUGCACACGGCUCUACUGUGCUAUAUAUCAUCUGCACAUUCUGCCAUGCCAUAUGAAGCCACCGAGGAUGGCACGAGUCAACAUGAGCAUAAAAUAGGGUAAAUGUCAACUGGACUUUGACAUUAAAUCUAUGGUCUACCUUAAAGCAAAACUUAUGGAGACCAAGAAAAGGGUGUCAUGGACAGAGAAAUGGGAAGGAGAGCAACCCAGCUUCCAGAAACAAUGCUGUCCCUCCUCUGCAGCUGUGCAGCUCUGUCUCAGAUGCUGCAAGAAGCAUGUUACCUCCACAGGGACACGACCCAGCAUGCCAUCCAAACCCACUGAGGCUGCCACAUCGCCUCGCUUUACUGCCGCAGAA